rnacentral:rRNA from 1 species
CGUGUAGGCGGCCUCUUAAGUUGGUAGUGAAAUCUCCCGGCUUAACCGGGAGGGGUCUGCCAAUACUGGGGGGCUAGAGGGCAGCAGAGGAAGGUGGAAUUCCCGGUGUAGCGGUGAUAUGCGUAGAUAUCGGGAGGAACACCAGUGGCGAAGGCGGCCUUCUGGGCUGUACCUGACGCUGAGGCGCGAAAGCGUGGGCAGCGAAGUGGAUUAGAUACCCACGUAGUCCACGCCCUAAACGGUGGACACUAGGUAUGGGGAGUAUCGACCCUCUCUGUGCCGAAGCUAACGCUCUAAGUGUCCCGCCUGGGGACUACGGCCGCAAGGCUAAA